rnacentral:rRNA from 1 species
CCUACGGGUGGCUGCAGUGGGGAAUUUUGGACAAUGGGCGCAAGCCUGAUCCAGCUAUUCCGCGUGUGGGAUGAAGGCCCUCGGGUUGUAAACCACUUUUGUAGAGAACGAAAAGACACCUUCGAAUAAAGGGUGUUGCUGACGGUACUAUAAGCAUACGCCCCGGCUAACUACGUGCCAGCAGCCGCGGUAAUACGUCGGGUGCGAGCGGUAAUCGGACUUACUGGGCGUAAAGGUUGCGCAGGCGGUUGAGUAAGACAGAUGUGAAAUCCCCGAGCUUAACUCGGGAAUGGCAUAUGUGACUGCUCGACUAGAGUGUGUCAGAGGGAGGUGGAAUUCGACGUGUAGCAGUGAAAUGCGUAGAUAUGUGGAAGAACACCGAUGGCGAAGGCAGCCUCCUGGGACAUAACUGACGCUCAGGCACGAAAGCGUGGGGAGCAAACAGGAUUAGAUACCCUUGUAGUC